GCGAAUGCUGACAUGAGUAGCGAUAAUGCGGGUGAAAAGCCCGCACGCCGUAAGCCCAAGGUUUCCUGUUCAACGUUCAUCGGAGCAGGGUGAGUCGGCCCCUAAGGCGAGGCAGAGAUGCGUAGCUGAUGGGAAGCAGGUUAAUAUUCCUGCACCGUCGUAUGAUGCGAUGGGGGGACGGAUCGCGGAAGGUUGUCUAGCUGUUGGAAUAGCUAGUUUUUGACUCAUAGAAGGUACUUAGGCAAAUCCGGGUACGUAAUUCAAGGGGUCGAGACGAGUCGCCAUGUGCGAUGAAGCAAUCGGAAGUGGUUCCAAGAAAAGCCUCUAAGCUUCAGUCAUACGAGACCGUACCGCAAACCGACACAGGUGGGCGAGAUGAGUAUUCUAAGGCGCUUGAGAGAACUCGGGAGAAGGAACUCGGCAAAUUGGUACCGUAACUUCGGGAUAAGGUACGCCUCGGUAGCUUGAAUGGUUUACUCCAUGAGGGCGAAAAGGUUGCAAUAAAAUGGUGGCUGCGACUGUUUAAUAAAAACACAGCACUCUGCAAACACGAAAGUGGACGU
rnacentral:rRNA from 1 species